UAACAAAACUAACAGCUCUUUCAAGAUUAUGUGGUAGGUGGUGCAUGGCCGUUCUUAGUUCGUGAAGUGAUUCGUUCGCCCAAUCGCAUUUCCAAACAACUAACAACUCAGAAUGCUGGGCAAUAGGACGUUUAAAGUGGCUCCUUACACCUUACAAAGGAAUGGCUGAUGAGAAACAACUCGAUCCGCUCAGCGUUCUAUUGGAAUGCAACGGACGUGAUUGCAAGCUUUUGUUUUGAGUUGCGGUUUUACUGAAAGACUCUA
rnacentral:rRNA from 1 species